rnacentral:lncRNA from 1 species
GUUAAAAACUAGGUAUAUAGAUAAAAAGAAGAAAUGGUAUGAUUGCCAAUGAGAUAACUCUCCACAAGAGACCAAAUGAAACAGAAAUUAACAAGUAUAGUUUUUGAUGUAUGUUAUGCUGUUGUCGUUACUUUUUGUUUUAAAAUAUGCCAUCUAUUUUAUUUCAGGCAAAUCGAGACCGUUCUAGUAGAAAGGUCAACUAUAUAAGAAACAGUAUAGAUAUUUGACUGUUCCAGCAAUAUUGUAACAGAAUAUAUAGUAUUACAGAUACCAACAUAAAAAUGUUUCAAGCUGCAUCUGUACGUUGUGUGUGAUUACACUUGAACAUUCACAAAUUGAUGUCGAAUGCUUAUAACCUUUAACCUAAAUCAAAACGUGAGUCUGACAUUGACAACCCA